AGUGAACGCUGGCGGUAGGCCUAACACAUGCAAGUCGAACGGCAGCACAGUAAGAGUUUGCUCUUACGGGUGGCGAGUGGCGGACGGGUGAGGAAUACAUCGGCAUCUACUUUUUCGUGGGGGAUAACGUAGGGAAACUUACGCUAAUACCGCAUACGACCUACGGGUGAAAGCAGUGGAUCUUCGGACCUUUCGCGAUUGAUUGAGCCGAUGUCGGAUUAGCUAGUUGGCGGGGUAAAGGCCCACCAAGGCAACGAUCCGUAGCUGGUCUGAGAGGAUGAUCAGCCACACUGGAACUGAGACACGGUCCAGACUCCUACGGGAGGCAGCAGUGGGGAAUAUUGGGCAAUGGGCGAAAGCCUGAUCGAGCAAUACCGCGUGGGUGAAGAAGGCCUUCGGAUUGUAAAGCCCUUUUGUUGGGAAAGAAAAGCAGCAGGUGAAUACCCCGCUGUUCUGACGGUACCCAAAGAAUAAGCACCGGCUAACUUCGCG
rnacentral:rRNA from 1 species